CCUGUGUGGCCUACAGGGCCUCUGUUCCUGGGCUGUGGGUACACAUGCUUGAUAAACUUCCGUCCAUCUCCCCUGCCCACUCUUGGGUAUCUCCUGUUUGGCCAUCACCACAGGGAAGAAGCUUCCCUCAUCAACAGGUACUCAAUGGGCCCUGCUGAGGAACCCAUGAUUUACUCAACACCCAUGUGACUGGUCUAUCAAGCACCUGGUGUCAAGGUGCUGUGCUGGAGACUGUUUGAGAUUGAUGUGAUCUCUCCUGCCACUGUGAUACCAUGCACAACAAGGGCUUCACCAAAACCAAGAAGAAGCUGAUGUCAUGCCCUUGAACCUCCAGUACUAUAAGCUACAUAAACCUUUUUUUCUUUAUAAAAUAUCUAACCUAGGGUAUUUCAAUACAGCAAUAAAAAUGAACUAAUACAUUAGGUCUAUUAACACAUAGAUACUUGGAGAUUAUUAAAAAAAUACUAUCAAUACAGUUCAGA